rnacentral:rRNA from 1 species
CAUAAGAGGUCCUGCCUGCCCAGUGACUAUAUGUUCAACGGCCGCGGUACUUUAACCGCGCGAAGGUAGCGCAAUCACUUGUCUUUUAAAUGGGGACCUGUAUGAAUGGCACGACGAGGGCUUAACUGUCUCCUUUUUCCAGUCAAUGAAAUUGAUCUUCCCGUGCAGAAGCGGGAAUGACACCAUAAGACGAGAAGACCCUGUGGAGCUUUAGACACUAAUCAGCCCUUGUCCAAAACCCUUAUUAGGGGGCCGAACACUAGAGGAGACCUGAUCCAAUGUCUUUGGUUGGGGCGACCUCGGGGAAACAAAAAACCCCCGCGCGGAACGGGAGUACCACUCCCAAAACUGAGAGCCACCACUCAAAGUAUCAGAAAUUUUGACCAACUAGACGAUCCGGCCUAACGCCGAUCAACGGACCAAGUUACCCCAGGGAUAACAGCGCAAUCCCCUUUUAGAGCCCAUAUCGACAAGGGGGUUUACGACCUCGAUGUUGGAUCAGGACAUCCUAAUGGUGCAGCCGCUAUUAAGGGUUCGUUUGUUCAACGAUUAAAGUCCU